CGCGCCGGGCCGCGGAGGGCGCGCCGGAAGUGGGUGGGGCCCCGGGCGAGGCCUCCAGGAAGUUGUGUUGCGUUAGGCACGGGAAGGGACUGUUUGGGUCCUAGCACAGAGUAGGUCCUUAACUUUUGGUCCAAUGAAGGGAAGCACAAGUCUGAAUACACAUUCAUCAAAUACAAUCAGAGCACCCCCCUGCCUCCAACUACAUCCAGGAAUUUGCCUUGUCGUGACCCCCGGAGUUUUACUGACCUGAUCUGGGCAGCAUUUGGCAGACGAUCCGCAUCAGCAAGAAAAUUUGUCUUGUAGGGCAGCAAUGAGACAAGCCCCAGGGGACAGAUCAUGCCUGAUCUAAGCCAAUGGUGACAAUCCUUUUCUUGAUUUCCUACCUUCUGUACGCUCGAGGGAAGGCCUGCCUGCCCAUGACUGCGGCGGUUGGUAGAUCAGCAGUGGGGCCUUCACCAGGAAUGGGAGCACACCGCUGUUUUUAGGGCCUUGACUCUAUUCUAACUAGUACUUAAAACAGUGAUGUCAGUCAACAUGAAUGCCAAGAGGAAGCAGACAACUUCGUGUAGAGUGGUGGAUGAGGAAGCGGAGGCUCAACGUGUUCCCUAGCCAAGGGCAUGCCACUUGUGAGUCUCAGGGCAGAGACGUGAACACAGGUUCCACUCCAGGUCUCUGUUCUUUCCACCACACCCGCUUCUGGAAGCCAGUUUAUCGAUGCGGCCAUCCAAACGCUGGGGCAAGACCUCUGAGCAACCUCUGCCAGCCACAGCGGACUCCAGUGGCUAAUACGCCAAUUCGCAGUUUGAGCACCUGUUCCAGUUAUGAGAGUGGUCAAAAUGAUCAGAACCCAGUGGCGCGGGCGUGGGUGCGGGCGCGGGUGCGGAAAGCAGGGGAGAAGCUCUGAGUUUGCCUGGCUGGCUGCCAUCUCCUUCCGGCUCAGGGGAGGAGGUCGUGCAGCUACUCGGGCAGCAAAGCUGAGGAACUGUCUGGCCUCUGCACAGACACAAACUGGAAUUUCCCAGCAAUGUCACUGUUCUUGAGCCACUGAGCUCCACAGUGAAAAUACCGCUCCCGUCACUAAUGUCUUGAGGUCAGGUAUAAAAAAUAUAUAUAUA